CGGAUUGCAGCCUGCAACUCGGCUGCAUGAAGCUGGAAUCGCUAGUAAUCGCGGAUCAGAACGCCGCGGUGAAUGCGUUCCCGGGUCUUGUACACACCGCCCGUCACACCAUGGGAGCCGGAAACGCCCGAAGCCAGCGGCCUAACCGCAAGGAGGGAGCUGUCGAAGGCGGGGCCGGUGACCGGGGUGAAGUCGUAACAAGGUAUC
rnacentral:rRNA from 1 species